rnacentral:rRNA from 1 species
AGAGUUUGAUCCUGGCUCAGAACGAACGCUGGCGGCGUGGAUAAGACAUGCAAGUCGUGCGACAGACCAGGAAUUGAUUACUUCGGUUUGAUUUUCCUGACGAUGAGCGGCGAACGGGUGCGUAACACGUGAGAAAUCUGCCCUUAAGUUCGGAAUAGCCCUACGAAAGUAGAAUUAAUACCGGAUGUGGCCCAGGGAGGGCAUCUUCCCCUGGCUAAAGCUUGACCAGCAAUGGUUAGAGCGCUUUUGGAUGAUCUCGCGGUCUAUCAGCUUGUUGGUGAGGUAACGGCUCACCAAGGCUUUGACGGAUAGCUGGUCUGAGAGGAUGAUCAGCCUCACUGGAACUGAGACACGGUCCAGACACCUACGGGUGGCAGCAGUCGAGAAUCAUUCACAAUGGGCGCAAGCCUGAUGGUGCGACGCCGCGUGGGGGAUGAAGGGCUUCGGUUCGUAAACCCCUGUCAUCUGUGAGUAAGACUCCCAAUAAAAGCUUGGGAGGUUGAUAUUAGCAGAAGAGGAAGGGACGGCUAACUCUGUGCCAGCAGCCGCGGUAAUACAGAGGUCCCAAGCGUUGUUCGGAUUUACUGGGCGUAAAGAGUGCGUAGGCGGCUAGAAAAGUUUGGUGUGAAAUCUUCGGGCUUAACCCGGAAACUGCACUGAAAACUAUCUGGCUAGAGGAUCGGAGAGGAGAUUGGAAUUCUC